rnacentral:rRNA from 1 species
UACGGCCGCAAGGUUAAAACUCAAAUGAAUUGACGGGGGCCCGCACAAGCGGUGGAGCAUGUGGUUUAAUUCGAUGCAACGCGAAGAACCUUACCUGGUCUUGACAUCCACGGAAGUUUUCAGAGAUGAGAAUGUGCCUUCGGGAACUGUGAGACAGGUGCUGCAUGGCUGUCGUCAGCUCGUGUUGUGAAAUGUUGGGUUAAGUCCCGCAACGAGCGCAACCCUUAUCCUUUGUUGCCAGCGGUCCGGCCGGGAACUC